CAAAAAAAAGGGAUUUAUAAAUCAGUUGAAUGUUUAGGAGAGGUGACCUUUAAAGUCUAUGGAAUUCUAUGAGUUUGUGAUUCUCUGAGUUUUAUUCUCCAAACAAAAGAAAGGUGGGGCAGAAGGUGGGACUGAGAGAAGUAUCAUGAAGAUAUUAGGAAGACAUGAAAGGUGAGAGAAGGAAGUAAGGCAGACUAUUUCAGGCAUUUGCUUAGAGCCAACACUAUAUAGUUGAGAGCCUUGGUGAUAAAGCGAAAAACCCUUAACAUCAACACAGAAAAUAACAAAAAAUAAAGUUUCAAAGUGUUCUAACCUACUUAUCAGUUAAUUUUUUGCUACAAAUACCUUAGGAUGUACUUCUAUAAAAGGCCUAAGUUUGUUUUUCAAAGGUAAAAAUGAUAUCUCUUAAAGAGUUUAUGACUCUGUAAAUAAAAAUACAAUUGUAAAAGUUCGGAGGUGAAGUAUAUAUAUCAAAUAUUUAAAUGUCUAGCUAGAAGACACUACUCUUAACUAAAUGCUGAGAUACUCCUGAUAAUACCAUGUAUUCACUAUGAAACCACAAACAAAUUGCCUACUAUUCACUGAUUCAACUCAAAGUUAAUAAGUACCAACUAUGUGUUACUUAUUGUGUAAGGCACAGGGGAUAUAUAACAUUGAAUACAACAGAUGUUGUCCUUGAUGGAGUUUUCAGUCUAUUGAUGAAAUUAAGAAUGCAGUGAAUAAGUACAAACAUUGAAUAACUGUGUAAUUAGCCACAAAAGUAGCUUUAAAAUUUGGAAGAACCCAAUUUGUCUAGGACAAAGUUUUUUAUCCUUUUUACUUUUGACAUUUUGAACCACAUAAUUCUUUCCUAUAGUAGGGUGCCCUGUGCAUUAUAGGAUAUUUGCAUGACUUCUACCCACUGGAAGGCAAAUAGUCCCCCUCUUGUGACAGGAAUGUCUCAAACAUUGCCUAAUGCCCUCAGAGGGCAGUAUCAUUUCUGAUUGAGAACUUCCAGUCUAGGGGGAGAUUCAUUUGAGGCGAUGAAAUCUAAGGAAGCUUGUAUAUUCUUGAUGUUGGUCUUGGUAAAACAAUGGAGUAAGACCUCUGCACUCAAAUGGCUGAGGUCUAUUAAAAAAUAUAUAACCAAAAAUUAAUAUAGGGUUUUAAGUGCUAUAGGAAUAUUGAUGAAAGUCUCCUAAGUGUGAGCUCAGGUCUAGACUUUUGGGAGUUGAAAUCUUGGUUAAAUACUUACAAACUUAGUGUAUUCAGAUAGUUUUACCAUGUAUAAAAUGGGAUUAGGAAGGAAAAAGCCCUUUUUUUAAAAUUGAAGGAUAGUUUAUUUAAAAUGUCAUGUUAGUUUCCGGUGUUCAGCAAAGUGAUUCAGUUAUAUGUAUAAACACACACACACACAUAUACGCAUAUACAUGUAUACAUUUAUGUAUAUUCUUUUUCGUAUUUUUUUCAUUAUGGUUUAUUACAGGACAUUGAAUAUAAUUCCCUGUACUAUAUAGUAGGACCUUGGUGUUUAUCUACUUUCUAUGCUGUGAUUUGUAUCUGUUAAUCCCAAACUCCUAAUUUAUCCCUCUUCCAUCCCCCACAAAAAUCCUUUAGAAAUAGUAGGGGGAAAGAUGAACACAAAGAAGAGUCUUCAAUUUUUUGCUUUUUGUGAUGGACCAGAUAACAUGUAUUUUGGGUUUUGGGGGGCAAAAUGUCUAUUACAGCUACUCAGCUCUGCAAUUGCAUUGUGAAAGCAACCGUGGGCAAUACUUAAGUUAAUGCAUAUGACUUCGUUUCCAAUAAAACUUACUUUACAAAAACAAAAUUUGAAAACAAAGUUUUCAGUAAUUCAACAAUUCCUGAUAAACAUACACCAGUGUAUUGGGGAAAUAACAAUAAAAAAAUAAAAUU
rnacentral:lncRNA from 1 species